CAGACCAAGCGAACGAUUUCAGAUGCGCGAAGAAGAACAGCCACAUUUUCAUGGAGAUGGAAGAAGAAAUGAGUAAAGGCAAGGGUUAAAAUCCAUAACCUUACAAACCAAUAUAAGCACGAAAAAAAGAAAAUGCGGUCGGGCGGAGCUCCUUCCUCCUGGUCCUACUAGUCGGAAGUACACUCAAUUCUAAGCGGCAGCAAGGUUGCUAAUUUCGAACACCUCAUGCAAGAUAAUUUUGUGUCGAACAAUGAAGGUGAUGCGAAUGACGAUCCACUGCUUGCGUCGGAGGCAUCAAUAAGCUCCAGAAGAUCGCUACCAUCUCCAGUACCAGUAAGUCCGACUGAACCUAAAAAAAACAAUGAGCCAGGAAGCGAUUCUUAAUUGCUUGGAGCGUUCGACUGCAUGUCUAGAAAAAGGCUUGACUGAAAUUAAAGAAAUACAAGCCACAAUGAUGGACAUUACGAAGAAGGCGUUGA